rnacentral:tRNA from 1 species
AAAUAAGAAGCAAUACUAUGCAUUUAAUUUCGACUUAAAAAUAGAGUUAUUUAUAAACUCCUUAUUUU